UGGUAAAAUCUUUAGGCACCCGUUCCCGUUAAGCCAUGUCUUGCGCUGCUGACUAUGACGCGCAGUUCGCGUCGCGUUUCUCCUCGGAGGACGCGGAGUUCCAGCGGUACCGGCAGCGCGCGCCCGAUCAGCCGCCCGUGGUGGAGAAUUGGAGAACGGCGCGCGGCCGCAGAGAUAGACGAGCUCCGGAGCGGCAGCACGAGCGCCGCGGGCAUCAUUUCCCGGACCGCCGCUAUGAACGAAACUCCGGUUCUUACGGCCAGAGGUCACAUUACUGACACACCGACACGAUCUGAGCGGGUGUGAGAUGCGGAUGUUGUUUAGUUUAUCAUUUCUUGUCCUGGUGGAAUUACUUUUGGCUUUGUGUAAAUAAAAUGACUUUAAAUGAUUUCAUAA